AACAAGCCGAAGAGGAGCAUGGGCAGAGGUUUGGUAGACAUACUAAUCUAAUACCGAUACUUCUGAAAGUAUUCCAAACUAGUACUUUGUAAAUAUCGAUAUAUCGAUGUUGUAGGAAGACACGACCACCAAUAGUGCGCAAAGCACUUUGGGAAGUUGACGUCAUCUGGCCGCAUGCAGGAGAGCGAGGCUGUGUUUGUGAGUUUAGAGUUGAGCCAUUACUGCCAAGUUUCCACCAGAAUGCCGUCCUGUGCUGUGUUUCGUUGUAUUUAUAACACCAGAGGAGUGGAGAAAUGUGACCUGAGUCUCCACAAGUUUCCUGUGGACCCGAAAAUGCGGAAACUUUGGGAAAUUGCCUGUAAGCGAAUUGAACUCCCCAGGGAUCCCCGGCUGUGCUCCCUGCAUUUCACCCCUGAUUCUUUUGAGUCUUUUGACAGAGCUAGACUGACCAGGGAGCUCAUCGGUGCCACAGUCAACCGAAGACUACGGACAGACGCCGUCCCGACAAUCUUCUUUAACUACAAGCAGCCGAAAAGGCCCCGGAUAUUCAGUGUGCUCCGCUUAGAGAAGCGGGACAAGCGGGAUACAGUUGAUGCUCUUCUGCGGGCUCAUGAUGCACCCCCUGCUGCACCUGGCACACCUGGAGAAACAGCAGCAUCUAAAAGCCAGGACACUCCACCAGAAAAGAACUCUGUAGGUUCACAGUGUUCCUUUACAUACGACGUAGGAACUCAGACUGACAUUGUUAUGAAAAAGGAUGCAGUGGUGCAAUGCCCUGCAGAUCUGCAGGAGCCCAUUGUUAUAGAGCAUGCAUAUUCUACACGUAGGCGUAAAUCCAACCACAAAGGCCGGAGAGCCUCAAAGUCUAGAUUUGUAUGAUUCACAUUUUUCUGGAAUUUAUCUGAACUCUUUCAGAGCACACUAAAGUCACACACUGUGGAUCUCAAACUUUUAAAGACACUGGUGGACUGGUAAUGGUUGAAGAAUCACUGCAAUUUAACAAUUACCCUCUUUAGUGCCCUAUAAAUAGACAAAGAUCAGUAAAGGCUAUUAUUGUUGCCCUUUAAACCUCAGAACCCUCUGCAGUGCCCUCGCAGUCGACAAAAUUUUCAUUAUUUUCUUCAUAAGUGCCCUCAAAAUACAAAGAUUGGACAAAGUCUGUCCUUAAGUGCCCUUUUUGUGGACAAAAUUUGAUUUGUUGCCAUCUAAAUAGACAAAAUCUGACUAAAUACCUCCCUUAGUGUCCUCUAAAUCAUUGGUUCUCAACCUGGGGUCCCAACACCUCCAGGGGACCCUGUUGGCUCUGAGGUUUUCAAAUAAGAUGUGCGUAUAUUUUUAAAAGAGUAGAAAAAUAAUGUAUUUUGGCCAACCUAAAAUAUGAAGGAAAAAAACUUUUUUGGAGGAAAACACAAACCGAUUUUGAGAUUAUUAAGUUGUUUAUUUAGACAAAAACAAACUCAGAAUUUCAAAGUUGCAAUUCACAAGAAAAGCUUACAGUUUCAGAAUUUAAAAUACUUCAAUUUUGACAAUAGAAACUCAGAAAUUUCAAGCUUUAAAACCCCUCCCUAUAAGACAGUGUUGAGCCAAAAAUUUUCAAGAAACCAAACUGAAAAUAGUGGUUGGAUUUUUGACAUUUUUGUCUUUUAUAAUCUGAAAAACACUAAGUUUUGGUUCACUGACAUUUACAACUUUUAAUGUCCAAAAAAUUUUUUUUUCUUAAAUUAUUUACUAUGAAAAAUUUCAAUGUUUUCCUGGAAAAUGAGCAAAUCCUCUUUAUUAAUAUUUUUUCUACAGCAGCUCCAAUGCAUUGUCAUCAUAAUGGAUAGUUUAUACAUAGAUCUUUUGUCAAGAACAAGUGUGCACAGGCCUAUUAUGUUGGGAUUUUGUCAGUAAAACAAUUAAAAUUGAUGUUUAUUUUUCCAAGUGGGUCCUGGGAGGGCUUAGCUUUUCUUAGUUAUGAGUAGAGGGGGGGCAAAAGGGGAAAAAAGGCCUUACUGGUGCCUUUAAAAUAGAAUAAAUUAUACAAAGAGUCUUUUUAAUUGCCCUCACAGUAAACAAAGGUUGACUUGGAGAGAACACUUGGAGUGCACUAAGGUCAAUGUGGUGUAGUGUCUCCAGGCUACUUUUUGAAUGGACAAUAAGUGAUAAAUUCCCCUUCAGGGUGUCCUCUCAGUGGACAAACCCACAUGUCCAGCAGCAGAGAAAAUGCAGUAGAGUUCUUUAAGUUCCUUGGUUUAAGUUAGUUUUCACUGACACCCUCUCUUUUACAUCAGUUAUAAUCAUCUUUGCUACAAUCAUAACAAAAAGUAAAAUUUUAAUUAAGAAUUUCUGACUAUUUCACCAUAAAUGUUUGUUUUAAACAAUAGUGCAUACAGCAGAUGCCCCUUUUAUUUUUGCCCCUGCCCCUCAAAUAUCCCAAGUCCACCACAGAUUAAAGACAAUGUCUGACUUUAGAGCUUACCUGUGCAAAUGGCUGCAGCUGCAGAUGGAGAAAGGAGGGGGACAUUUGCUUUUGGCAGCAUCAGUUUUUGGUUUUUCUUUUUACCUUUUCAAGUUUUUUGCUAAAUUUGGAUGUUUUUCUAACAACUUAAACCUGAAGACAAUAAGUGAGAACAAAUACCCAAGAGUGAGAAGGGAUUUUGUUUUUCCUGUCAUUGAAAAAAGGUGGACAAAGGAGCAGAGAGCAGUGAGGAAUACACUGGAAUCUGGAGGUGAGGAAAUUGUCAUCUGUGGAGACGGCAGAUGAGACUCUCUGCUAAAUAUCGCACAUAAACAUUUUUAUAUGUUUGAGUCAAAAGGUUGUGGACUUUAAAUUAUAAGCUGCACUCAAGUUACAAGUCAAAUAACAUGGAAAUCAAAGGUUUUAAGGAUGCCCUUACAUCUGUUGAAGAGAAGUGAUGACAGUCGCCACUGAUGACCAGUUUGACAGCUUGCAUGCUUCUAAAAGAAACUAGCAGCUGCAGCUUAAAAGAGGGGAUGUGAUGGCCUGGGAGACGGAUUCCUUCUAUUAGAAAUCAUUUGUGUUGAAGUUCACAAUCCUGCUGUGGAGCUCCUGAGAGAAAAGUGGUCAUCAGUAAUUCACCUCAUAACCAAUCAGCACUAGUGAUGAGGAAGCAGCCACUAUCACAGACGUGCACAUGAACCUCUGGAUGAGACGAGCCAGAGACGAAAAAAUCUGGACCUGAAGCCCACAAGACCUCAGUGUGAAAGACAAGUGCCUUUCCAAAGACCUGGGUCAUCUAACACUAGAGGUGUGUUGCUCCCUGUACCUCAAAUAUCCUCCAAAGAGAUCCCAUAACGUCACGAUCCACGCCUCCAUGCUCGCUGCUCUGGAUCAUAACAGCAAAGCAAACAGGGAACAGUUAUAAUGUGCCUGCCAGUCUUCAGGAACUGGCGUGGAGUCCUGGCGGUUUGAACGGCCUGUUUGAGAGUGACGUUUGAUGAGGAGCUGCAGCGGUGCAGUCGGGCCAAAAUCUGGCUGAAUUUGUGCAGUCUGAGCCGGCCUUAAGACCACCAGGAACACAGAUUGUUUUUGCAAACAGCAGCUCUCAUGUUUCAAGGAGGCACCAUGUGGACACAUAGACUCAUCAAAUCCAUGAUGCUUUAUUUUUGUUACAGUUUUGUAAAUUUUGAACAAAUCCUCUUUUUCAGGAAAUAUUUUAUUAAAUUAUAAUUUUAUUAA